CCUGGUGGCUAUAGCGAAUGUGAACCACCCGAUCCCAUCCCGAACUCGGAAGUGAAACCGUUCAGCGCCGAUGAUAGUAUGGGGGCUUCCCAUGCGAAAGUAGGGCACCGCCAGGC
rnacentral:rRNA from 1 species